UACGGAGGGUGCAAACGUUGCUCGGAAUCAUUGGGCGUAAAGCGCACGUAGGCGGUUCGUUAUGUCGGAUGUGAAAGCCCUCGGCUCAACCGAGGAAGGGCAUCCGAAACUGGCGUGCUUGAGUAUGGAAGAGGGUCUCGGAAUUCCCGGUGUAGAGGUGAAAUGCGUAGAUAUCUGGAGGAACACCGGUGGCGAAGGCGGCGUCCUGGACCAACACUGACACUGAUGAGCGAAAGCCAGGGGAGCAAACGGG
rnacentral:rRNA from 1 species